rnacentral:tRNA from 1 species
UCCCUGUGGCUUAGAUGGUAAAGAAUCUGCCUGCAAUGCAGGAGACCUGGGUUCGAUCCCUGGGUUGGGAA